rnacentral:rRNA from 1 species
GACGUAGGAGGCGAGCGUUUGUCCGGAUUCAUUGGGCGUAAAGAGCGCGCAGGCGGCUUGGUAAGUCGGAUGUGAAAUCCCGAGGCUCAACCUCGGGUCUGCAUCCGAUACUGCCCGGCUAGAGGUAGGUAGGGGAGAUCGGAAUUCCUGGUGUAGCGGUGAAAUGCGUAGAUAUCAAGUGGAACACCAGUGGCGAAGGCGAGUCCCUGGACAAAACCUGACACUGAGGCACGAAAGCUAGGGGAGCAAACAGG